rnacentral:rRNA from 1 species
UACGUAGGGGGCAAGCGUUGUCCGGAUUUAUUGGGCGUAAAGAGCGUGUAGGCGGCUUGGUAGGUCUCGCGUCAAAACCUGAGGCUCAACCUCAGUUCGCGUGGGAAACCACCUAGCUAGAGUCCGGAAGAGGAGAACGGAAUUCCCAGUGUAGCGGUGAAAUGCGCAGAUAUUGGGAAGUACACCAGUGGCGAAGGCGGUUCUCUGGGACGGUACUGACGCUGAGACGCGAAAGCGUGGGGAGCGAACAGG